rnacentral:rRNA from 1 species
CUCCAAAAGCGUAACGGAGGCUUCUAAAGGUGCCCUCAGGACGAUUGGUAACCGUCCGCAGAGUGUAAUGGCAUAAGGGCGCUUGACUGGGAGACAUACAAGUCGAGCAGGUAGGAAACUAGAGCAUAGUGAUCCGGUGUUUCCGUAUGGAAGGGACAUCGCUCAAAGGAUAAAAGGUACUCCGGGGAUAACAGGCUGAUCCCUCCCAAGAGCUCAUAUCGACGGAGUGGUUUGGCACCUCGAUGUCGGCUCGUCACAUCCUGGGGCUGGAGAAGGUCCCAAGGGUUGGGCUGUUCGCCCAUUAAAGUGG